UCCGAGUUGACCCCGGCAGUCUCCCAAGAGUCCCCGGCAUUACCCGCUGGCAACAUGGAACGAGGGUUGCGCUCGUUGCGGGACUUAACCCAACAUCUCACGACACGAGCUGACGACAACCAUGCACCACCUGUGCACGGCCUUUACGGACCCCGCAUCUCUGCGAGAUUUCCGUGUAUGUCAAGCCUUGGUAAGGUUCUUCGCGUUGCGUCGAAUUAAGCCACAUGCUCCGCUGCUUGUGCGGGCCCCCGUCAAUUCCUUUGAGUUUUAGCCUUGCGGCCGUACUCCCCAGGCGGGACGCUUAAUGCGUUAGCUGCGGCACAGAGGGCGUGGAAUACCCCCUACACCUAGCGCCCACCGUUUACGGCGUGGACUAC
rnacentral:misc_RNA from 1 species